ensembl:lncRNA
CUCUCUCUCUCCUUUGUCAGGACUGUCUCUCUCUCUCUCUCUCUCUCCUUUGUCAGGUCUCUCUCUCUCUCCUUUGUCAGGUCUCUCUCUCUCUCCUUUGUCAGGUCUCUCUCUCUCUCCUUUGUCAGGACUCUCUCUCUCUCUCUCUCUGUUGUCAGGACUGUCUCUCUCUCUCUCUCUCUCUCCGUUGUCAGGACUGUCUCUCUCUCUCUCCGUUGUCAGGACUGUCUCUCUCUCUCUCCGUUGUCAGGACUCUCUCUCUCUCUCCGUUGUCAGGACUGUCUCUCUCUCUCUCCGUUGUCAGGACUGUCUCUCUCUCUCUCUCCUUUGUCAGGUCUCUCUCUCUCUCCUUUGUCAGGUCUCUCUCUCUCUCUCCUUUGUCA